UACGGAGGGUGCGAGCGUUGUUCGGAAUUAUUGGGCGUAAAGCGCACGUAGGCGGUUGGAUAAGUCUCGAGGUGAAAGGCCGGAGCUCAACUCCGUGCUGGCCCGGGAUACUGUCCGACUGGAGACAGGGAGAGGCCAGUGGAAUUCCGGGUGUAGCGGUGGAAUGCGUAGAGAUCCGGAAGAACACCGGAGGCGAAGGCGGCUGGCUGGCCCUGAUCUGACGCUGAGGUGCGAAAGCGUGGGGAGCGAACAGG
rnacentral:rRNA from 1 species